rnacentral:lncRNA from 1 species
UGAAUCAGACCUGUCCUUAGCUCGAAUGGUGCUGUCAAUAGGGGAUAUUCAAUGCAUAAGGGUGCUUGAUCUCCUGCUGGUUCAGCCAACUCUCCGAGAGUUCUUUCCCGUGGCUGAGGUGCUUGAAUGGGCACGUUUCCAGCUUGAAUUUCAGCUUCUACAUGUGCAGCAGGUGGUGCUGCCAUUGCUGGAUUUUCUGCCAUGACCAGAAAUUCAGUUUCUGGUAAAAAUUCUGCUGUAGCAGGUGCGGUGAUGGAAGUUUCUGUUGGUGCAGAAAUUUCUUCAGCAGGGGCAGUAGGUGGUCUGUGAGGUGGAGUUGUUGAUG